UACAUGCAAGUCGAGCGAGCUUGCCUAGAUGAAUUUGGUGCUUGCACCAAAUGAAACUAGAUACAAGCGAGCGGCGGACGGGUGAGUAACACGUGGGUAACCUGCCCAAGAGACUGGGAUAACACCUGGAAACAGAUGCUAAUACCGGAUAACAACACUAGACGCAUGUCUAGAGUUUAAAAGAUGGUUCUGCUAUCACUCUUGGAUGGACCUGCGGUGCAUUAGCUAGUUGGUAAGGUAACGGCUUACCAAGGCAAUGAUGCAUAGCCGAGUUGAGAGACUGAUCGGCCACAUUGGGACUGAGACACGGCCCAAACUCCUACGGGAGGCAGCAGUAGGGAAUCUUCCACAAUGGACGCAAGUCUGAUGGAGCAACGCCGCGUGAGUGAAGAAGGGUUUCGGCUCGUAAAGCUCUGUUGGUAGUGAAGAAAGAUAGAGGUAGUAACUGGCCUUUAUUUGACGGUAAUUACUUAGAAAGUCACGGCUAACUACGUGCCAGCAGCCGCGGUAAUACGUAGGUGGCAAGCGUUGUCCGGAUUUAUUGGGCGUAAAGCGAGUGCAGGCGGUUCAAUAAGUCUGAUGUGAAAGCCUUCGGCUCAACCGGAGAAUUGCAUCAGAAACUGUUGAACUUGAGUGCAGAAGAGGAGAGUGGAACUCCAUGUGUAGCGGUGGAAUGCGUAGAUAUAUGGAAGAACACCAGUGGCGAAGGCGGCUCUCUGGUCUGCAACUGACGCUGAGGCUCGAAAGCAUGGGUAGCGAACAGG
rnacentral:rRNA from 1 species